CCACAGGGUCUUCACUGAGCAGCGAGUCAUCUCCUGUGUCCUCUCCAGCCACCAACCACAGCUCUCCGGCUAGCACACCCAAGCGAGUGCCCAUGGGCCCCAUCAUCGUUCCCCCCGGGGGUCACAGUGUUCCCAGCACUCCUCCGGUGGUCACUAUUGCCCCCACCAAAACAGUCAAUGGAGUCUGGAGGAGCGAGAGCCGCCAGGACUCCGGCUCACGAGGCGGCAGCAGCGGUCGGGAGCGUCUGCUGGUGGAGCCGCCUCUAGCCCAGGAGAAGGCAGCGGGCC
rnacentral:lncRNA from 1 species